AUGAAGCUCGUCCACCGCAAUCUCGCCCGAAACGGGCCCGGCUCCGCCAAGCUGCUGCCGGAGGAGGAGGACGACCUGUGGCACGCGUACAAUCUCAUCGCCGUCGGGGACAGCCUCCAGGCCGUCACUGUCCGGAAAGUUCUGAGAGAUUCUGCUUCUGGAGGACGUGAUGCGGAGCGCGUGAAGCUAAAGUUGGAAAUUGUAGUUGAGUCUGUAGAUUAUGACAAGGAGGGGAACGUUUUGCGCGUCCGUGGCAAAAAUAUUACUGAGAAUGAUCACGUGAAGAUUGGCCAGUUUCAUACUUUAGAACUUGAGCUGAAGAGACCUUUUGUUCUACGAAAGGAAUAUUGGGAUUGGUUAGCACUUGAUACCAUCCAACAAGCAUGUGAUCCUACUGCAAGUGCUGAUCUAGCAGUUAUUCUCAUGCAAGAAGGACUUGCUCACUUAUUCCUUAUUGGGAGAAGCAUAACAGCAACAAGGUCACGUGUUGAAACCUCGAUUCCUAGGAAACAUGGACCUGCCAUUGCUGGUUACGAGUCGGCUCUCAAGAAGUUCUUUGAGCAUGUUUUGCAGGCCUUGCUGAAGCACAUUGAUUUCGAAGUGGUCCAGUGUGUUGUAAUUGCAAGCCCAGGUUUUACUAAGGAUCAGUUUCGUGAUUACAUGCAUCUUGAAGCUGCACGGCGAGACUUGAGAGUAAUAAUUGAGAACAAAUCACGCAUUAUUCUUGCACAUGCACCUUCAGGCUACAAGCAUAGUUUGAAGGAAGUUUUGGACACCCCAGGUGUGAUGUCACUGAUAAAAGAUACAAAAGCGGCACAGGAGGUGCAAGCUUUGAAGGAAUUCUUCGCUAUGCUUACUAAUGACUCAGCCCGAGCGUGUUAUGGACCUAAGCACGUUGAGGUCGCACAUGAACGUCUUGCAAUACAAACUCUUCUGAUGACAGAUACUUUGUUUCGGAACACGGACAUCGCUAGCAGGAGAAAGUAUGUGAACUUGGUUGAGUCAGUCAAGAAAUAUGGUGGUACAGUGCACAUAUUUUCUUCGAUGCAUGUCUCCGGCGACCAAUUGGCGCAGUUGACAGGAAUAGCAGCUAUACUUCGUUUCCCUCUGCCAGAUUUGGAGGACAUCGAGAUGUGA
rnacentral:rRNA from 1 species